CUCCACUGAGGUUCAUCUGCACCACCACCAUUACAAUAACUAGUUUAUUAAACCUCAUUUCCUUUGUGAGACACAUUAAUAGAAGUACUAGGUGUCUUUUUACAGUUCAGAAUGAUCCAGUGUAGCAGCAUUUGUCAAAUGUGUUUAGGAAUUAUGAAAGAAGUGCUUUUGUACAUAUAUUUAACCUGGUGUUUUCUUUCAGCCCUCAUCACUGGAAGACUCAGUGAAUCUGCAAGAAAAAGUGGCCAUCUACCACUGAUUGGUUCUCUGAUGGAUCAAACUUUGGUUCGAGCUGGUAGUCUCAACCCAGUGCAUGCCCGACAAAUACUUUUAGACAAAUCGACUGUCCCACGGGGACAAAUGCUACCAGUGCGCCAGGAUCAAUUUCUAUCAGCCUUGUUUCAAAUCAUGGAAGACCAUUUCCUACACAAACCAUCUGCAUCUCAGGACUUCACUUCAAGUUCUUUUAGAGGAUCAACUUGUAGUCAAUGUGGUACCAGCAAUGGGGGCAGUCUCAUCUUUGAGCCAAAUGCCUUGUGAGGUGACUUCUAACCAAAUUGAUCCUCAUGAUGAAACUCCACAAGAAUUAAACUGUGCCUUGAGAAAUGUUGAUUAUUUAGACCAUAGUGAAUCACACCUCAUUGGUCAACAUGCUAGAAGAAGUAGAUACUUUGGCAAACCAAAAAUUCAAUCCUGUGUCUCAAAAUCAAACUUCACCUCUAUGUUCAAGUGAUCCGAUUCCUGGUGACAGAAUUAAUCCACUCAGUAGUAACUUGCAAGCCAUUUGCCUUUGAUGCCGUCACUCACUUUGAUGCGAGUCCCCAAUGGCCAGAUUUGUAUAUGGAUAACAGUGGCAAUUUGUGCUUUCCUGAUGCUAAUCAUGAAGAGUCUGCAUUUUCACCUGAACCAGGCCUUAACUGACUUUUUGAUACAGAGGUCUUUUUUUUCAGGGCUCCACACUUGCUUAACAAUCGUUAUGUUUUAUAGUAGGGUAAGGAAAAAAGAAAUUAGCUUGAGGUCUUUGUAAAGCAUAGUAUUCAUGUUUGCCGCCCAAAUUUCUUCAGACGUCUUGCAUAGGUAUAGAAGUUUUGAAGGCCAUCAUUUCUAUGUGCAAGUAAACCCCAUUUCAUAAGAUAUUUUAGUUUAAACUCUCUAGUCCUCAAUUUAGGUAAUUCAGCAGUGAAUUACCCAUUUUUGUACCAUUAAAACCAGUGCAUAUUGUAAUUAUAUUUCUGUUAAAAUACAUGUUUUGUCUCCUAGAAAUAAAACUUAUUCUGCAUCUACUUUGUGCCUGUUUUUGGAGUACUUUACCAUUUGUCAUCUGUAAUCCACUCAAUAUCAAUAAUGUAUUCUGUAGGAAAAAUUGUUUACGUGAAAAUCAGAGAUUUGAACACAAAGCUUGCUGGACUUCCUAUUUAAAUGUCUACUUAAAUUAUGUACAGUGUGAUUUCUAAAAUAUAUACUACAUUUACCACAUAUACUACAGUACCAAAGUUGAACAAAUAUUCUGAGUUUGGUCUAACAUUCAGACCAAACUGAAAUGUUAAGCAUCCAUUAACAUUUUGAGGCAAAGGUGGUUGGUAAUGACUAAUAAAUAGCAAGUGGAAAUAUACUUUUCAUUUUUCAAAACAUUUUAACUGAAGUUUUUCAGGUGAAAAGUAUAAGAGUGCCAUUAUUGAUCUAAAGGUUUUAAUCAGCUGACAACCUAAAGCUGGACCAUAAAGGGAGACAAUGUGACAGUUUCACAAAAUGGGGGAAAAAAAAAAAAAGUUUGAUACCAAGUUAGGAUCACACAAAUUAAUUUAUUACUCGUUUUGUUCACCUCUCACACAGAAGAAACCUUCAUUAUCAUUAAAGUCAAAUUUUUAAGACAAUUCUUCAGCAAAAUUG